rnacentral:rRNA from 1 species
GGCGGCGUGGAUUAGGCAUGCAGGUCGCGCGCAAGCCCGGUUGCCGUAAGGCGGCCGGUGACUGAGCGGCGAAAGGGCGAGUAAUGCGCAGCUAUCUACCCCUGAGACGGGAAUAGUCCUCGGAAACGAGGGGUAAUGCCCGAUGGUCCCGAAAGGGUAAAGAAGACCUCUACUUGUAAGUUUUCACUCGGGGAGGAGGCUGCGUCCUAUCAGGCAGUUGGUGAGGUAACUGCCCACCAAGCCGAUGACGGGUACCCGGUCUGAGAGGAUGGUCGGGCGCACUGGGACUGAGACACUGCCCAGACUCCUACGGGAGGCUGCAGUCGAGAAUCUUCCGCAAUGGCCGCAAGGCUGACGGAGCGACGCCGCGUGUAGGAUGAAGGCCUUCGGGUUGUAAACUACUGUCAGGGGGUAUGAAAUCCAGGGAAAUCAACAAGGUCUCUGGUUGACGUCAACCCCAGAGGAAGGGUCUGCUAACUACGUGCCAGCAGCAGCGGUAAUACGUAGGACUCGAGCGUUGUUCGGAGUUAUUGGGCUUAAAGCGCAUGUAGGCGGUUCUGUGAGUUCGGGCUGAAAUCCCCCGGCUUAACCGGGGAACUGGCCUCUAUACUGCAGGGCUAGAGUACGGGAGAGGAGAGUGGAAUUCACGGUGGAGCGGUGAAAUGCGUAGAUACCGUGAGGAACACCGGCGGCGAAAGCGGCUCUCUGGUCCGUUACUGACGCUGAGGUGCGAAAGCUGGGGGAGCAAACAGGAUUAGAUACCCUGGUAGUCCCAGCCGUAAACGAUGAGCACUUGGUGGGAUGGUUUCCUAUGUCUGUCCUGCCGUAGCGAAAGUGUUAAGUGCUCCGCCUGGGGAGUACGGUCGCAAGGCUGAAACUCAAAGGAAUUGACGGGGGCUCACACAAGCGGUGGAGGAUGUUGCUCAAUUCGAAUCAACGCGAAAAGCCUUACCUGGGUUUGACAUGCUGGUGGUAGUGAACCGAAAGGGGAACGACUUCGCAAGAAGAGCCAGCACAGGUGCUGCAUGGCUGUCGUCAGCUCGUGCCGUGAGGUGUUGAGUUAAGUCUCUUAACGAGCGAAACCCUUGCCCUUAGUUGCCAGCGGGUAAUGCCGGGGACUCUAGGGGGACUGCCCGGGAUCAACUGGGAGGAAGGUGGGGAUGACGUCAAGUCAUCAUGGCCUUUAUGCCCAGGGCCGCAAACGUCCUACAAUGGCCGGUACAAAGGGAAGCCAAGCCGCGAGGCGGAGCAAAUCCCAUAAAAGCGGCCUCAGUUCAGAUCGAAGGCUGCAACUCGCCUUCGUGAAGCUGGAAUCGCUAGUAAUCGUGGAUCAGCACGCCACGGUGAAUAUGUUCCUGAGCCUUGUACACACCGCCCGUCAAGCCACCAAAGUCAAGGGCACCCGAAGUCGCUGACCCAAUCUGGCAACAGAAGGGAGGCGCCGAAGGUGAAAUUGAUGAUGGGGACUAAGUCGUAACAAGGUA